rnacentral:rRNA from 1 species
GGAUGCGAUCAUACCAGCACUAAAGCACGGAUCCCAUCAGAACUCCGAAGUUAAGCGUGCUUGGCGAGAGUAGUACUAGGAUGGGUGACCUCCUGGGAAGUCCUCGUGUUGCAUUCUC